UACGUAGGUGGCAAGCGUUGUCCGGAUUUAUUGGGUUUAAAGGGUGCGUAGGCGGUCGAUUAAGUCAGUGGUGAAAUACUUCAGCUUAACUGGAGAGGUGCCAUUGAUACUGGUUGACUUGAGUACUGAUGAGGUAGGCGGAAUGGACGGUGUAGCGGUGAAAUGCUUAGAUAUCGUCCAGAACACCGAUAGCGAAGGCAGCUUACUAAGGAGUAACUGACGCUGAGGCACGAAAGUGUGGGGGAUCAAACAGG
rnacentral:rRNA from 1 species